GCUGAUGUGGCAUAGUGGUUUGAGUGCUGGACUAUGACUCUGGAGACCAGGGUUCGAUUCCCCCCUCCCUUGGCU